GGGCCCGUAGCUCAGCUUGGAUAGAGCAACCUCAUCCCUGAGGAUGAGGCUCGAGCCGGCCUUCUAAGCCGGGGGCCGCGGGUUCGAGUCCCGCCGGGCCCGCCA
rnacentral:tRNA from 1 species